GAUGAAGAACGUAGCGAAAUGCGAUACGUAAUGUGAAUUGCAGAAUUCAGUGAAUCAUCGAAUCUUUGAACGCAUAUUGCGCUCUCUGGUAUUCCGGAGAGCGUGCUUGUUUGAGUAUCAGUAAACACCUCAACUCCCUUUUCUUUUUUGAAAUUGGAGCUGGACUUGAGUGAUCCCAACGCUUUCUUCCAAGAAAGUGGCGGGUUGCUUGAAAUGCAGGUGCAGCUGAACUUUUCUCUGAGCUAUAAGCAUAUCUAUUUAGUCUGCCUAAAAAACAGAUUAUUACCUUUGCUGCAGCUAACAUAAAGGAGACUAGUUCUUGUGCUGACUGAUGCAGGAUUCACAGAGACAGCUUCGGCUGACUUUGUAAACUCGAUCUCAAAUCAAGUAAGACUACCCGCUGAACUUAAGCAUAUCAAUAAGCGGAGGA
rnacentral:misc_RNA from 1 species